UGAGUCACACUUGAUCUUUUCAAAAAGCC
rnacentral:piRNA from 1 species